ACUUUGGGGGAGGUACCUGGAGGCGUGGCAAGGGCAGCAUGCGGAGCCCUGCGGCCCCCCUCCCCCAGGGGCCGUGCAGGGAUGUGGUGCCAGCUGCUUCCCGGAGCAGCGCAGUGUGGGGCCAGGGCAGGCAGGCAGGCAGGGAGCCUGCCCUGGCCCCGGUGCGCACUGCUGCCACCCCGGAGUUGCUUUAGGCUGGGAAGGAAGAAGAAUGAGAUUAUUAUUUUCUGUAUUGGGAAGUUCUCAGAUAAGAUUGUGAUGGAGCCCUUUUUAGCACCUAGACAGCUCAAGACUCAGUCCAAGAUUGGGGCCCCAUUGCGCUCUGUACAAACACAGAGUAAGAAUUUGUUCCUGCCCCAGAGAACUUAAGAGGAAGACAGCAGAAGGAGAAACGACUUACCCAAGAUCACAACAGCUGGCCUAUGGCAGAGCCAGGAGGAGAUCAUAGCUCUUCAGGGCCCCAGUUCAGUGCCCUAUGCACUGGGCCACAGCGCCUCUCUUACCUCCCGCAUUGGUAACAGUAGUGACCAUGCUAGUAUGGGCUCAGGCAUUUUUACCACUGUGUUGUCUAGAUUUGGUCAGAGCAGGUUAGAGCACUUGAUGGUAAAAUCCCCAUGACCUGUACACUAGUGAUGCUAUCACAAGUCGAGCUGCCCUUAGGGCAGUGCAAUAGUAAGAGGAUUACCCAUACGAGACCUCUGUGGGACUUCUCUCAUUUAUAAGCUCACGAGAAAGGAAGUGCUUACACUGUGCACUCCAGGGUAUCAUUGCAAUUAUAACAGCUGAGGAGAUCUAUCGAGGGGUAUCAGAGAAUGGACAAAGUGAUAGAGUUAAAAUAUUCAUUGCAAAUGUGAAAUAAUUUAUAUACUUAGCAAAAUCCAUCCUUUCUAUUUACUCUUUCAGGAGUAUCAUGUGUAUAAAUAGAAUUCUUGAUUCCUAUCUGGCCACUGACACCUUAUAAAAAUAGCUGAGUGUGAUACUGAGGUGUAAAUACCUUAAGCAAAGUAUUACCAAUCUGUCAUGUCCUGAUGUUGCAUUCAUUUGAAUUAACGUUCCCUAAAAAUAAGACUACAGGUUUUUAAUUGGCUACAAGGUAUUCUGUUGAUGAUAACUGAGACAUUUAUUUCAGACCUUAGAUACAAAGGCAAAAGUAUUUAUGUGUUUAUAUUAUGGUGUUGUGUCGCACUGCAGAGGGCAGUAGUUUGCAGGUCCUUGUUCCCUAUUGUGGGAUUUUGAGAGUUUACUAUAAAACUUGGUUUAACCUAAUAAAAUUUUGACCACCCUUGUGUCUUACCAUGGAAUCUGGUAUUCACAUAUCAGAGACGAGAAAACAAAAGGAAAAACCCUUGCAAAAAUUUCACCUUCUCUCACUUGCAAAUUUGAGGGCAUAGAUAAAUCACUACAGAUACUAUUUGCAUUCCACCCAGAAACAAAGCCUAUGUUCAGCAUCCUUACAUGGGCUCAGCACUGUUUUCAUUGAAUGUGUGGCGCCUUCACCCUUAUUCAGGCAAAACGCACAUUGAAGCCCCAGGUUUUGUUUCUCGCUCAUUGAAAGCUGAAGGCAUUUCCUAACAUUGUAUUAAAAAUGCUUUUGGCGAACUUCUAUAACAAGUCCUUGGUGGGAACAGGGUCAGAUGGAUCGUCAUGGUGCUGUGAUUGCUUUCACAUCCCUGCUAUAGUGUGCGAGCUUUUCGUGAGCACCUGAAAUCUGUUGUUAAUGACAUGAGUAUGAAACACUGAUC